rnacentral:tRNA from 1 species
GCCGGUGUGGCGGAAUUGGCAGACGCGCACGACUCAAAAUCGUGUUCUUACGAGAGUGCCGGUUCGACCCCGGCCAUCGGUA